UUUCCGUAGGUGAACCUGCGGAAGGAUCAUUGUCGAAGCCUGCCCAGCAGAACGACCCGCGAACUUGUAUAAACAACCGGGGGCAGGGGCGAUCUCGCCCCGUGCCCUCGAAUGGCAGGGAGACACUCGUGCCUUCUUGUCGAACAACGAACCCCGGCGCAGUCUGCGCCAAGGAACUUCAAUUAAAGAGUACCUCCGGUCGCCUCGGAAACGAUGCGCGUGUCGGAGGCGAAUCUUGUACAAAACCAUAACGACUCUCGGCAACGGAUAUCUCGGCUCUC
rnacentral:misc_RNA from 1 species